ACAAAGGGCAAUUAAGAUCUAGCAAAGCAGUGUGGCAGAUGCUGCUAUUUGGGCAUCGUUGUAGUUUUUCAUAUCUGAAAAUAUCCAGAGGCCAAAUCUCAGUUCAAACAGGACCUGCCAGAUGUUGCUAUGAGGGUUCUUGUUGAGGAAGUAAGGUGACCAACGACACAGAGAGAAACACACACGGCCUCGGACCCACUGUGCCGACGAUGUGAAUUCAUUGAUGUCCAAUGGAGCCAGACUAGAUGUAGUCCUUGACCCCAACAAUCCCUGAGGGGUGAGGGCUGGAGCCUGGCCUAUCGGUGUCUCCUCCCUGCCAGUCAACACCGCCUCUGCUGCCAGUAAUACAGCUCUGACUUCAACUCUGACCCCCGACGCUGCUCCGCGGCCGGUCGACCGGCCAGCCAGGGGGGCCCAGGGCCAGGCCUCCAGAGGAUCCAGGUCUGUGUGGUCUCUGGGUGGAGACUUUAGUGGGGGAGAGGCAGACAUCCUAAUUACAGCCAGUUUGGUUAGUUGGAAACGUGAACCCAGGAAGUAAGACAGUGCCAAGACAGUUUGUCCUUUGAUCGGCUCACCGGCUGAGCCGCUGGUGGUGCCCACCACAGAAGGUUUAGGGGGGGCCGGGGGCACGGUACUGUACCGUUUGAAUGUCAUGGUUUAUACCCAAGAAAUGAGUAAAAUGAGGAGGUAAUAAUUUGAAAUGUACAACACAUUUCACUGAAUUAGCAACAGAGAAAGAAUUUGGCAAGGAGGCCACAUCAACGUGAAGCGUGUUCAUUUAAUGUGCGACCAUGAAGGACAAAGUCCCUGCAGAGUCCAGAGCUGAUGGUGAGCGAGGCCGCGGGUAUCCAGGAAGAUGGAUGAGAGGAGAGGUGGCACAUGUACAGUCGACGAUGGUCCAUUACUACAGUAGCUGGUACAAUGGGACUUCUGGUGUCAUGCCGGGCCAGGGGCUGCGUGCUCGCCGCGUGGAUGACAUCAAAAGCGACACUGCACGUCGACUUGCCCUUCGCGAAUGCAAAAGAGCGCAGGGGAUCAAACGCGUCGAGCACAGACACAGACACACAAUCAAACCCUCUAAAUGCCCGAGGUGCAAGGAUGCUGUUUGUGGGAAACACACAGCAUCGGGGACGCUGAGUGGUUGUGCCGGGCGUGCGCGAUGUGAAGCGGAACAAAAAUCAAACAUUUAACAUUUUUCAGCUUUAUUUCAUCCCCAGUGUUUCAGUAGCCCAGUGUUGCUUUUAUUGUUGUGGUUUUCUUUCUUUUUCUGUGUAGCUCCUUGCAAUUUCAUCAGGAAAAGUGCUUUAUAUAUAUAAAAAGUUUAU